GCAACUUAACACCUCUUGAGUAGAAAAUUUGAGACUCUUCUAAAUGCUGGAAACAAUAGAUGUUUGGUUUUUAGUAAAAAGAGAAAAAAGAAAAAAAAAACUGGGUGGGGCACGGGAGAAGAAUUCAGUGCCAAAUAACCUUCAGCAAUGCUUAGUGGUAAUUAGAGCAGACAGACAUUGUAUUAAAGGUAGUGGAAGAAUAUUUUCUCCUCUAUAUUAUUAAAAAUCUGUAAGAUUGCUUCUUUCAAAACAAAAUUAAAAUUAAAAUCCAUGUUUAUCAUCAUUUUUCUCAGGAGAAAAAGUUGUUCUCUUCUACCAAAUUUUCCUGCCAUCAAAUGCUCAUUGAGUGACAAUAGAGAAAGCACCAUCAUCCUGAAGCAUCAGAUUGGGAGAAAAGUCCGCUCUCGAGAGCAUCAACUAUGUAGAAAGGGGACCAACCUAUGUUAUAUCUGCCUUAGUGCAUGGGCUGCUGGUCAAUGCUAACAGCUGGCUCUCAGGGAAAAAAGAAAAACCAUCUGUGGCAUCUGCCAAUUUCUGUGGUGUAAAUACUCUGAGCUCUGCCAAUUUCAAGCCAUCCAUCUGACAUUGCUGAACCCAAAGUUGGCAAGGGAUGUGCACAAUUGCCUUUUGCAAGCAAGCUUCUGCAAAAGACUUGAGACAGCUCACAAUGAAGUACUCUGUAUUAGGCAGGGUAAUAUUGAUUGCAAGUGACAGAAACCCAAUCAGAAACUCACUGGAGUCAUGAGGAACACUUAUUGGCUCAGAGUAAAGGCAAAAUAGACCUUCAGAGAAAUAAAGUCUGGGAAAUUGACUAGAUCCUCACUGAAAGAACUACUAAAGGAUGUACUUAUGGAAGAAGAAAAUUACAAAGUGAAAGAACUGGGAUGCAAGAAGUAAUGGAAAUGACAAGCUAACUCUAAAGUUCACAGGAAUGAAAAGCACCUAAAAUAGGCAAAUUCAUUUUGAAAAAGAAGAACAAAGUUGGAGGGCUAAGACGACCUGAUUUCAAAGUGCAAGGCUUCAAUAAUCAAGACAGUUUGAUAUUGGCACGAAGAUACACAAAGAGAUAAUGACACAGACAUUAGGUCCAGAAGACAGUCCAGUAAUAGACUUUCACAUAUAUGGACAACAAAUUUUUGACAGUGCCAAGGCAAUUCAGUAGAGAAAGGAUAGUUU
rnacentral:lncRNA from 1 species